rnacentral:rRNA from 1 species
CCUACGGGAGGCUGCAGUGAGGAAUAUUGGUCUAUGGGCGCGAGCCUGAACCAGCCAAGUCGCGUGAGGGAAGACGGUCCUAUGGAUUGUAAACCUCUUUUGUCGGGGAGCAAAAGACGCCACGCGUGGCGUUCCGAGAGUACCCGAAGAAAAAGCAUCGGCUAACUCCGUGCCAGCAGCCGCGUUAAUACGGAGGAUGCGAGCGUUAGCCGGAUUUAUUGGGGUUAAAGGGUGCGCAGGCGGAAUAGCAAGUCAGCGGUAAAAUUGAGAGGCUCAACCCCUUCGAGACGUUGAAACUGGUUGUAUUGCGUGAGCGAGAAGUAUGCGGAAUGCGUGGUGUAGCGGUGAAAUGCAUAGAUAUCACGCAGAACUCCGAUUGCGAAGGCAGCAGACCGGCGCUCAACUGACGCUCAUGCACGAAAGUGUGGGUAUCGAACAGGAUUAGAUACCCCAGUAGUC